GAUGAACGCUGGCGGCGUGCUUAACACAUGCAAGUCGAACGAAGCAGCAGGAAGGAAGCCUCCGGGUGAAAUUUUUGCUGACUGAGUGGCGGACGGGUGAGUAACGCGUGGGUAACCUGCCCCAUACCGGGGGAUAACAGCUAGAAAUGGCUGCUAAUACCGCAUAAGCGCCCAGGGCCGCAUGGCCCGGUGUGAAAAACUCCGGUGGUAUGGGAUGGACCCGCGUCUGAUUAGCUGGUUGGCGGGGUAACGGCCCACCAAGGCGACGAUCAGUAGCCGACCUGAGAGGGUGGCCGGCCACAUUGGGACUGAGACACGGCCCAA
rnacentral:rRNA from 1 species